AACGAACGCUGGCGGCAGGCUUAACACAUGCAAGUCGAACGCCCCGCAAGGGGAGUGGCAGACGGGUGGGUAACGCGUGGGAAUCUACCUAGUUCUACGGAACAACAGUUGGAAACGGCUGCUAAUACCGUAUACGCCCUACGGGGGAAAGAUUUAUCGGAAUUAGAUGAGCCCGCGUAAGAUUAGCUAGUUGGUGAGGU
rnacentral:rRNA from 1 species